AUGCAUAAGCCUCUAUCUCUGUCAUACACACAUACACACACACACACACACACACACACACUUGCACUCAUUUUUCUGUUUUCAAACUUAGAACCUGCCGAGAAGAAAAUGGACCCUGGAAAUCACUCAUCAGUGACUGAAUUCAUCCUUGCUGGCCUCACAGAACAGCCACGACUCCAGCUGCCCCUUUUCCUCCUCUUCCUAGGAAUCUAUGUGGUCACGGUGGUGGGGAACCUGGGCAUGAUCAUAUUGAUUGGGCUCAGUUCUUGCCUGCACACUCCCAUGUACUAUUUCCUAAGCAGCUUGUCUUUCAUUGACCUCUGUCAGUCCACUGUCAUUACCCCCAGAAUGCUGGUGAACUUUAUGACAGAGAAGAGCAUCAUCUCCUACCCUGAAUGCAUAACUCAGCUUUACUUCUUCCUUCUUUUUGCUAUCUCUGAGUGUUACAUGUUGGCUGCAAUGGCAUAUGAUCGCUAUGUUGCCAUCUGUAGCCCCUUGCUGUAUAAUAUUAUCAUGUCACAUCAGGCCUGUUUCUCCCUCAUUUCGGGAGUGUAUAUGAUGGGAUUGAUAUGUGCCUUCUCCCACACAGGCUGCACACUUAGAGUUCAUUUCUGCAAAUUAGAUGUGAUCAACCAUUAUUUCUGUGAUCUCCUGUCCCUCCUAAAGCUUUCCUGCUCUAGCACCUAUGUCAACGAAUUACUGGUUCUAUGUUUUAGCGCACUUAACAUCUUUGCCCCCAGCCUGAUCAUUGUCAGCUCCUACGUCAUCAUUAUUUCCAGCGUCCUCCGCAUUCCUUCAGUGAAGGGCAGAUCUAAAGCCUUCAGCACAUGCAGCUCCCACAUCUCAGCUGUUGCUAUUUUCUAUGGGUCUGCAGCAUUCAUGUAUCUGCAGCCAUCAUCAGUCAGUUCCAUGGAUGAAGGGAAAGUGUCCUCUGUGUUUUACACUAUUGUUGUACCCAUGCUGAACCCCCUGAUUUAUAGUCUACGGAACAGGGAUGUCAAUGUUGCCCUGAAGAAAAUGCUAGAGAGAAGAAUAUUCUUCUGA
rnacentral:lncRNA from 1 species